UGAACAUCCACGCUGCGGAUGGACAGGGUGCCACCAGGGAGCACCUGGAACCUGCUGUCCCCUUGGCCGGUUGACAGAUCUAGCCCUGGCUAGAACUUCAGAAUGUCCUCCUUUCUCAAGCUUCAACAGCACCUUCAUCCCCCUUUCUAGAAUCUCCCCACCCCACCUCCUGCUGCAGACUCAGGACUCGCCCACCUGCCUCUGCGCCCAUAACUCCUGCCUCCAAAGAACAGGCUGUGGCCUACUCCUCACACAGCA